rnacentral:rRNA from 1 species
UGUUCCUACGGGAGGCAGCAGUGAGGAAUAUUGGUCAAUGGGCGCGAGCCUGAACCAGCCAAGUCGCGUGAGGGAAGACGGUCCUAUAGAUUGUAAACCUCUUUUGCAGGGGAGCAAAAGACGCCACGUGUGGCGUUCCGAGAGUACCCGAAGAAAAAGCAUCGGCUAACUCCGUGCCAGCAGCCGCGGGAAUACGGAGGAUGCGAGCGUUAUCCGGAUUUAUUGGGUUUAAAGGGGGCGCAGGCGGAAGAUCAAGUCAGCGGGAAAAUUGAGAGGCUCAACCUCUUCGAG